rnacentral:rRNA from 1 species
UACGGAGGGUGCAAGCGUUAUCCGGAAUCACUGGGUUUAAAGGGUGCGCAGGCGGCAUGUUAAGUCAGAGGUGAAAGAUCGGAGCUCAACUCCGAAACUGCCUUUGAUACUGGCAAGCUUGAAUUAGGUUGAGGUUAGCGGAAUGUGACAUGUAGCGGUGAAAUGCUUAGAUAUGUCAUAGAACACCAAUUGCGAAGGCAGCUAACUAGGCCUACAUUGACGCUCAGGCACGAAAGCGUGGGGAGCAAACAGG